UAGCUGGGAUUACAGGUGUGUGCCAUCACACUUGGCUAAUUUUUGUAUUUUUAGUAGAGAUGGGGUUUCACCAUGUUGGCUAGGAUGGUUUUGGAUCUCUUGACGUGAUCCACCCUCCUUGGCCUCCCAAAGUGCUGAGAUUACAGGCAUGAGC